rnacentral:rRNA from 1 species
AACGCGAAGAACCUUACCAGGCCUUGACAUCCUCUGACAACUCUAGAGAUAGAGCGUUCCCCUUCGGGGGACAGAGUGACAGGUGGUGCAUGGUUGUCGUCAGCUCGUGUCGUGAGAUGUUGGGUUAAGUCCCGCAACGAGCGCAACCCUUGAUCUUAGUUGCCAGCAUUUAGUUGGGCACUCUAAGGUGACUGCCGGUGACAAACCGGAGGAAGGUGGGGAUGACGUCAAAUCAUCAUGCCCCUUAUGACCUGGGCUACACACGUGCUACAAUGGAUGGUACAAAGGGCUGCAAGACCGCGAGGUCAAGCCAAUCCCAUAAAACCAUUCUCAGUUCGGAUUGUAGGCUGCAACUCGCCUACAUGAAGCUGGAAUCGCUAGUAAUCGCGGAUCAGCAUGCCGCGGUGAAUACGUUCCCGGGCCUUGUACACACCG